rnacentral:rRNA from 1 species
UUUAUCGGAGAGUUUGAUCCUGGCUCAGGACGAACGCUGGCGGCGUGCCUAAUACAUGCAAGUCGAGCGGACAGAUGGGAGCUUGCUCCCUGAUGUUAGCGGCGGACGGGUGAGUAACACGUGGGUAACCUGCCUGUAAGACUGGGAUAACUCCGGGAAACCGGGGCUAAUACCGGAUGGUUGUUUGAACCGCAUGAUUCAGACAUAAAAGGUGGCUUCGGCUACCACUUACAGAUGGACCCGCGGCGCAUUAGCUAGUUGGUGAGGUAACGGCUCACCAAGGCGACGAUGCGUAGCCGACUGAGAGGGUGAUCGGCCACACUGGGACUGAGACACGGCCCAGACUCCUACGGGAGGCAGCAGUAGGGAAUCUUCCGCAAUGGACGAAAGUCUGACGGAGCAACGCCGCGUGAGUGAUGAAGGUUUUCGGAUCGUAAAGCUCUGUUGUUAGGGAAGAACAAGUGCCGUUCAAAUAGGGCGGCACCUUGACGGUACCUAACCAGAAAGCCACGGCUAACUACGUGCCAGCAGCCGCGGUAAUACGUAGGUGGCAAGCGUUGUCCGGAAUUAUUGGGCGUAAAGGGCUCGCAGGCGGUUCUUAAGUCUGAUGUGAAAGCCCCGGCUCAACCGGGGAGGGUCAUUGGAAACUGGGGAACUUGAGUGCAGAAGAGGAGAGUGGAAUUCCACGUGUAGCGGUGAAAUGCGUAGAGAUGUGGAGGAACACCAGUGGCGAAGGCGACUCUCUGGUCUGUAACUGACGCUGAGGAGCGAAAGCGUGGGGAGCGAAAGGAUAGAUACCCUGGUAGUCCACGCCGUAAACGAUGAGUGCUAAGUGUUAGGGGGUUUCCGCCCUUAGUGCUGCAGCUAACGCAUUAAGCACUCCGCCUGGGGAGUACGGUCGCAAGACUGAAACUCAAAGGAAUUGACGGGGGCCCGCACAAGCGGUGGCAUGUGGUUUAAUUCGAAGCAACGCGAAGAACCUUACCAGGUCUUGACAUCCUCUGACAAUCCUAGAGAUAGGACGUCCCCUUCGGGGGCAGAGUGACAGGUGGUGCAUGGUUGUCGUCAGCUCGUGUCGUGAGAUGUUGGGUUAAGUCCCGCAACGAGCGCAACCCUUGAUCUUAGUUGCCAGCAUUCAGUUGGGCACUCUAAGGUGACUGCCGGUGACAAACCAGGAAGGUGGGGAUGACGUCAAAUCAUCAUGCCCCUUAUGACCUGGGCUACACACGUGCUACAAUGGACAGAACAAAGGGCAGCGAAACCGCGAGGUUAAGCCAAUCCCACAAAUCUGUUCUCAGUUCGGAUCGCAGUCUGCAACUCGACUGCGUGAAGCUGGAAUCGCUAGUAAUCGCGGAUCAGCAUGCCGCGGUGAAUACGUUCCCGGGCCUUGUACACACCGCCCGUCACACCACGAGAGUUUGUAACACCCGAAGUCGGUGAGGUAACCUUUUAGGAGCCAGCCGCCGAAGGUGGGACAGAUGAUUGGGGUGAAGUCGUAACAAGGUAGCCGUAUCGGAAGGUGCGGCUGGAUCACCUCCUUUCUA